UUUUUUUGAUGUGCAGCGUAUUUAUCAAAUAAUAAAUCCGCUAAGGAGCUAUUCCCUUUUUUUGAAUUAAUCCGCUAAGGAACUGUUUCCUAGGGUUCCUUUGUCCCUUUUUCCUUUUUCUACACAACACCUUUACAGAUCAUCAACCACUAUCAUAAAUCCAAUCCAAAAACAAAGAACUUGAACUUUAAUCUUCAAAUGCUCCAAACGUGAGAGCGACCAAGCUAGUAUGGAUGAACGCGACAGCGACGGUUUUAGGGUUUGCCGACACGGAUGAACACGAUGGCAGCGGCGGCGGACUUAUAGGAAUCUUAGGGUUUCGGAGUUUUUGCUGGUUGGAACGGUGACGGCGACUGCUGUUGUUGUCGGAUGCGGAUUCGACAGGGAAUUGGGACGAGGGAAACUAGAAACAAAACGUCAAUCAUCAUUCGAUCAGAUCAGGGAAUUUCGCAAUUUCGCAUUGAUUCAGUCGCAGCACGGCAGCAGUGAGGAGAUUUGCGAAUAGGGCCCAAAUUUGUUUUAUCUAUUUCAUAACAAUUAUCAAAGUAUUAUGAGUUUUUAGUAUUUAUAUAUUUGAUU
rnacentral:lncRNA from 1 species